rnacentral:lncRNA from 1 species
AAACAACAACAGCAACAAUAGUCUGUGUUGAAAGGUUCACGUUCAAAACAUUCUCUGAUUGCACGCUCAACUCCUCCUCCUCCUUCUUCCUUCACCUUUCCACAAAUUCUCAUUUGCCCUGGGGCAGCAGCCACAAUUGGUUUGCCCAGUGGGUCCCUGAUGUUUUCCAGAUGGGAGAGGGGCAAGGGGAAGUUGGCACAGUGCAAAUGUAUCAGUGGAGUCUGCCCAGUCCUCCUGCUAUUGGGUUUGCACCAAGCCAAUCUCCCCACUGCACCACCCUUCUAACUCCUGAUAAGCAAUAGUGUCCCACCAACCGGGAAACAGGCAACUGGGAAACUCUGCCCCAUCCUCAAGCCACUUCUGGCUACAGAGCACACUGUGGUCUCUGUAGUCAGGAGAUCAUGGACCACUGGGAGUUUGUACCUCCUGCCUCACAGCAACAAGAAGACAGAACCUGGGCCCGCACAUCAACCAAAGGUGCUUGCUUCCCCACUUCACAAUGGAGAGAAUAGAAUGCUCUGCUUCAACUGAACUGCCUGUUGUCCUGCAACUGAAGAAGUACGGGGAAGCCCAUCUCAGCUUCCAGCCAGAGGAACAAGGGUCUGUUGGGCCAGAUGCAGCAGCUCUGUUCAUGCCAGACCACCAUCAAGGGAAGAUAAGCCUGGCCCUAAAUGGAUGUACACAAAGGCCUGCUGACAGCUCACUACAUUGUUCUGGUGCUGUCAAACUGGUCUCCCACCUCUAACUUUUCCCACCACUGCCCUUCUCUUCUUUUUAUUGUGUGAGCUUGGGGGCAGGGCUUCUCUCUCCUGCCCUUAGAAUUGAUGUGAGCCAUUUUAGGAAAAGACAGUGUUCAGCUGAAAAAUGAGAUGAAAAUAUAACUGCAUGAAUGUGACAAAUACUGCGUCCCAUCCAGAUGUUACAUGAGGAGUCAGACACAUGGAUUUCAUAAGUGGAAUUCGCUCAGGGCCAGACUACACAUGAGGUAGAAGAUCUGUGACUUGACUGCCUUACUUGUUUAAAAAACUGAAAUGGUGGUGGUUGCUGUUGUUAAUCUUGGAAGAAGGAGACGUUUUAUCCAUUUCCCUCACACUGUUUUCCUGUUAAUAAUCCCUCCAUCUCCAGCUGGUGUUUACUGUUUGAAUGGGGGAAAUACAGACCCUCCAAGUGUCCCUAUUUUCCAGAGACAUCCCUGAUUUAGAGAAGGUGCCCUGGUUUCUGAUUUGAUGCUGGAAUGUCCCACUUUUCCUUAGGAUGUCCCUAUUUUCAUUGGAAUAAUGUUGGAGGGUAUGGAGUUAUCCGACACCUGAACCGUCUGAAGGCAAUCCUGUAUAGUAGGGUUGCCAUGUGUCCUCUUUUCCCAGGACACAUCCUCUUUUUCAUGGGUAGAGUCAUCAUAGUGAUCCAUAGCUAAAAGUAGAAGUCGGCAAAUGUGUCCUCUUUUCUGCUCUUCAAUAUAUGGCAACCCUCUAG